GACGUAGGGUGCGAGCGUUGUCCGGAUUUAUUGGGCGUAAAGAGCUCGUAGGCGGCUCGUCGCGUCAGCUGUGAAAACCCGCGGCUUAACCGUGGGCUUGCAGCUGAUACGGGCGGGCUAGAGUGCGGUAGGGGAGACUGGAAUUCCUGGUGUAGCGGUGAAAUGCGCAGAUAUCAGGAGGAACACCGGUGGCGAAGGCGGUUCUCUGGGAAUGUACUGACGCUGAGGAGCGAAAGUGUGGGGAGCGAACAGG
rnacentral:rRNA from 1 species